CAAAAGCUUGGUCCUGGCUUUUCUGUCAUCUCCGGCUAAAUUUACACAUGCAAGUAUCCGCACCCCCGUGAGAAUGCCCCACAGUCCCCCUCCCCGGAGACAAGGAGCUGGUAUCAGGCACAUUAAUAUGCCCGCCCACGACACCUUGCUCAGCCACACCCUCAAGGGAAUUCAGCAGUGAUAAACAUUAAGCCAUAAGUGAAAACUUGACUUAGUUACAGCCCCUAGGGCCGGUAAAACUCGUGCCAGCCACCGCGGUUAUACGAGAGGCCCAAGCUGACAGCCCCCGGCGUAAAGAGUGGUUAAGUUAACCCUAAUGUGACUAAAGUCGAACGCCCCCAAGACCGUUAUACGUGCUCGGAGGUAUGAAGCCCAACUACGAAAGUGGCUUUAAAAUACCUGACCCCACGAAAGCUGUGAAACA
rnacentral:rRNA from 1 species